AGCGAACGUUAGCGGCAGGCUUAACACAUGCAAGUCGAGCGAGAAAGGGGCUUCGGCUCCGAGUAAAGCGGCGGACGGGUGCGUAACACGUGGAUAAUCUGCCUCGUGGCGGGGGACAACAGUCCGAAAGGACUGCUAAUACCGCAUGUCAGGUCGGAAACUCCGGUUUCUGACGAAAAAGAGGGCGCCCGCAAGGGGCUCUCACCACGAGAUGAGUCCGCGUCCCAUCAGCUAGUUGGCGGUGUAAUAGACCACCAAGGCUUAGACGGGUAGCUGGUCUGAGAGGAUGACCAGCCACACUGGGACUGAGACACGGCCCAGACUCCUACGGGAGGCAGCAGUGGGGAAUAUUGGACAAUGGGCGAAAGCCUGAUCCAGCCAUGCCGCGUGAGUGAUGAAGGCCUUCGGGUCGUAAAGCUCUGUGGGGAGGGACGAAAAAGCGUGACCUAAUACGUCUCGCCUUGACGGUACCUCCUUAGCAAGCACCGGCUAACUCCGUG
rnacentral:rRNA from 1 species